GUAGGUGGCAAGCGUUGUCCGGAAUUAUUGGGGCGUAAAGCGCGCGCAGGUGGUUCUUUAAGUCUGAUGUGAAAGCCCCCCGGGCUCAACCGGGGGAGGGGUCAUUGGAAACUGGGGAACUUGAGUGCAGGAGAGGAAAGUGGAAUUCCACGUGUAGCGGUGAAAUGCGUAGAUAUGUGGAGGAACACCAGUGGCGAAGGCGACUUUCUGGCCUGUAACUGACACUGAGGCGCGAAAGCGUGGGGAGCAGACAGGAUUAGAUACCCUGGUAGUCCACGCCGUAAACGAUGAGUGCUAAGUGUUGGGGGGUUUCCGCCCCUCAGUGCUGCAGCUAACGCAUUAAGCACUCCGCCUGGGGAGUACGGUCGCAAAGACUGA
rnacentral:rRNA from 1 species